AGUCGAGCGGAUGAAGAGAGCUUGCUCUCUGAUUCAGCGGCGGACGGGUGAGUAACACGUAGGUAACCUACCUAUAAGACUGGGAUAACUCCGGGAAACCGGGGCUAAUACCGGAUAACACAUGAAACCGCAUGGCUUCAUGAUGAAAGACGGUUUUGCUGUCACUUAUAGAUGGACCCGCGGCGUAUUAGCUAGUUGGUAAGGUAACGGCUUACCAAGGCAACGAUACGUAGCCGACCUGAGAGGGUGAUCAGUCACACUGGAACUGAGACACGGUCCAGACUCCUACGGGAGGCAGCAGUGGGGAAUAUUGGACAAUGGGCGAAAGCCUGAUCCAGCCAUGCCGCGUGUGUGAAGAAGGCCCUCGGGUCGUAAAGCACUUUAAGCUGGGAGGAAGGGUUGUAACCUAAUACGUUGCAGCUUUGACG
rnacentral:rRNA from 1 species